UACGGAGGGUGCGAGCGUUGUCCGGAAUGACUGGGCGUAAAGGGCGCGUAGGCGGCCUGAUAAGUAGGGGGUGAAAUCCUGUGGCUUAACCGCAGGGCUGCCUUCUAAACUGUCGGGCUAGAGCACAGUAGAGGCAGGUGGAAUUCCCGGUGUAGCGGUGGAAUGCGUAGAGAUCGGGAAGAACACCAGUGGCGAAGGCGGCUCGCUGGGCCGGACCUGACGCUGAGACGCGAAGGCGUGGGGAGCGAACAGG
rnacentral:rRNA from 1 species